ensembl:miRNA Mir8110 microRNA 8110
AUGCUGUUGCCUCCCCUUGCCCUAACAGCCGUUUGUUAGGCUUAAUCUGAAUUGAGAAGCGUGGAUGGGGGGGGGGGGGGUGCAAAGCCCAAAGCUA